rnacentral:misc_RNA from 1 species
AACGCACAUUGCGCCCUUUGGUAUUCCUUAGGGCAUGCCUGUUCGAGCGUCAUUUACAAAUUCAAGCUCAGCUUGGUGAUGGGUGUCUGUCCCGCCUUUGCGCGUGGACUCGCCUCGAAUGCAGUUGGCAGCUUGUUCCUCGGCUCUAAACGCAGCAGAUUUGCGUCAAGCGUUGAGCGGACGGGCUCUCCAGUAAGCAAACCCCACAAAUUGACCUCGGAUCAGGUAGGGAUACCCGCUGAACUUAA